rnacentral:rRNA from 1 species
GACGAACGCUGGCGGCGUGCUUAACACAUGCAAGUCGAACGAAGUGGCGAACGGGUGAGUAACGCGUAAUCAACCUGCCCUUCGGAGGGAGACAACAGUAAGAAACGACUACUAAUACCGCAUACUGAAGUAGGGGAUUGCGUGUGAUUAGUUGGUUGGAGGGGUAACGGCCAACCAAGGCGAGGAUCAGUAGCCGGUCUGAGAGGAUGAACGGCCACAUUGGGACGGAGACACGGCCCAGACUCCUACGGGAGGCAGCAGUGGGGAAUCUUCGGCAAUGGACGGAAGUCUGACGGAGCAACGCCGCGUGAGUGAUGACGGCUUUCGGGUUGUAAAGCUCUGUUGUACGGGAAGCGGUACCUUAACAGAAAGCGACGGCUAACUACGUGCCAGCAGCCGCGGUAAUAC